CAGCCACAUCACAUUGAAACACAGGUUCCUGUACAAUCACCAAAGUUAAGCAUCACAGAGUCUGGUCAGUACCUAGAUGGGUGACUGCUUGAAAAUACCAGGUGCUGUAAG